UACAAAUCCUUUCUGAUUAAAACAUAAUUAUUCAACAAAACGAUGUACAUGUCUCUAUCUAUUUGUGUUGUUGAGUUUUUUCUUAUCGACGUAUGUCCUUUUUUCAAUUUUCUACCAAGGAAUGAGCACAUUUGGAGGCGGAUAACGGUACAGACUUAAUUUUCAACCGUUGAAGGAACUGUUGGGUUUAAGUUAGAACUGUAUAAGGGAAAAUAAACCCCAGGGACAUUUUUGGAAACUAUAGUUUCGUCAUGCUGAAAUAUAUAUAUAUAUGAUUUAAUGGUAUCUUCCAAGUAAAACAUGACGUUAGUCUUCCAUUCCACUCUCAGGAAAUUCUUUUGUUUUUCCAAAAACAAUAUAGUGCUAAUGGCUUAUCAUUGAACAAGUUGUACUGUGACUUCUGUUCGAAAUCCAAUUGUCCAAGAUUAUGCAG
rnacentral:lncRNA from 1 species